rnacentral:rRNA from 1 species
UACAGAGGGUGCAAACGUUGUUCGGAAUUACUGGGCGUAAAGCGUGUGUAGGCGGCCAUGUAAGUCAGGUGUGAAAGCCCCGGGCUUAACCUGGGAACUGCAUUUGUGACUGGCGGGCUAGAGUAUGGCAGAGGGGGGUAGAAUUCCACGUGUAGCAGUGAAAUGCGUAGAGAUGGGGAGGAAUACCGAUGGCGAAGGCAGCCCCCUGGGCCAAUACUGACGCUCAUGCACGAAGGCGUGGGGAGCAAACAGG